AGAUAAGAGACUAGUGCCAGGCGUAGAUUUUGAGGCAGCGGAGGAGAAGGAGAAAUGAGAGGAAGCAGGAAGGAGGAGUGAAAGAAACGGCAAAGAGGAGGAAGACGAAUCGGGAGCGUCGAGCAACGAGAGAGAGAGAGAGAGAGAGAGAGAGAGAGAGAGAGAGGAAUAAUGAUAUGUUAGUGAGUUUUCUGAAAAUUCGAAUUGAACCUGUAAAAUAUAAAAUAGUAGUCUAUUUUUUAUAAAAAUACAAAUUAGUUGAUUUUGUAUGCA
rnacentral:lncRNA from 1 species